CUAUAGUAAAAGAUAAUAGUCAUAACACACUUAAUGAAGAAUUAUGUGAAUUAAUUGAUAAAAGUGAUUGCAACAUAGAAGAAAUAAUAAACACUAAUACAACCACACAGUCAUUAGAAUCAACUACUAAACAUGAUUAUGAAAAGGUGUUAAUUGAUGCUUCACCUGAUGAUUUAGAUGAAACUACGGAAGAAGAAGAAGAAGAAGAAGAAGAAGAAGAAGAGGAAGAAGGAGAAAAGAAAGAAGGAGAAGAAAAAGAAGAGGAAGAAGAAGAUGAAGAAGAAGAUGAAGAAGAAGAUGAAGAAGAAACUUAUCUAUUCGAAAGUAUACAUGAUCUUCAUAAACAGAUUUUUGAAGAUGAUGAUAUUCGAGAAAUUACAAAAGAAUCGGAUUUGCUAAUAAUUGAAAAUUCACAAGACCCACAAACUUCGAAUGAAAAUGUUUCACCAACAACUCCACCAACAGAUCCACAAACUGAUCCACCAACUGCUACACAAUUACAAGAAAGUGAUGAUGAUAAAAAUGUGGAAAAUAAAAACAAUGGAAUAAACAUAAUUACCAAAAAACAUUUAGAUAAAAAAUCCGAAUAUAUAAAGAUACCAUUAACACCAGAAAAUAGAGAACAAUUAAAAAAAGUGUUACUGUCAAUGAAGAUGUCAUAUGAAGAAAAAAAUAAAAGAUAUACACACAAACUUAAAUUUACAAUUAGAUACAUCGAUAAUUUAUUUGAUGAUAUUUUAAAAGAAGGAGAUCAACAAGGAGAAAUUAAUGUUACCAAAUAUCAUAGACAAUAUAAUGAUUUAAAAAGGGAUUACGAAUUCCCAUUAAAUGAGUUAGAAUAUAAUGUAGUAAAAAAGAUUUUAGUUGAUUGUUUAAAAAAAGAAGAUUACAGUUUAAAACAAACUUAUUUACCUGAUAUAUUAAAACUUAUAUUUGAAAAUGAAGAAGCUAGAAAUGAAUUUGAUAAUUUAAUUUAUGGCAUUUAUAGCUAUGCAAAAAAAAUAUUAUUAUAUAUCGGGACAUGAUUUUAACAUUUCUAUUAUAUAUAAAUACUUAUUUUCAAAUAUUUUAAAUAUGAUUAAAAAUUAAACAAAUAAAUUUGUAAGGAGCGUUUUUUUUUUUUUUUUU
rnacentral:lncRNA from 1 species